UUCUCCUUUCUGACGAACCAUGAUGUCAUUAAUUUGGUGUUAUGGGAAGUUAGGACUGUUACUUUGAAAAAAUUAGAGUGUUUAAAGCAGGCUUUGGCUUGAAUACAUUGGCAUGGAAUAAUGAAAUAGGACGUUCGAACCUAUUUUGUUGGUUUCUAGGAUCAACGUAAUGAUUAAUAGGGAUAGUUGGGGGCAUUAGUAUUCAAUUGUCAGAGGUGAAAUUCUUGGAUUUAUUGAAGACUAACUACUGCGAAAGCAUUUGCCAAGGAUGUUUUCAUUAAUCAAGAACGAAAGUUAGGGGAUCGAAGACGAUCAGAUACCGUCGUAGUCUUAACCAUAAACUAUGCCGACUAGGGAUCGGAUGAUGUUAAUUUUUUAAUGACUCAUUCGGCCC
rnacentral:rRNA from 1 species